AUUAUCUUUUAGAGAUUAAAAAUGCAGUUUUUGUAUGUAGACUAAAAAAACAUGUUCUUAAUAUUUGUUUAUAACGCACAUGAAAGAGUAAGAACACUUGUAAUUUUAUUAGAAAACUUGUUUUUAGGGAAUGAAGUUUAUUGUUUUGUUUUUUUGAGAGAUUGUGAAGUCACGUGUGGCUUUUAUUUGUCUCAUAGAAAAUAAAUUUUAAUUUUGUUUGUUUAUUUUUAGCACUUUUCCAUUUUUAGGGAACAAUAAAA
rnacentral:lncRNA from 1 species